rnacentral:misc_RNA from 1 species
AAGUCGUAACAAGGUUUCCGUAGGUGAACCUGCGGAAGGAUCAUUACCGAGUUCUCGAGCUUCGGCUCGACUCUCCCACCCUUUGUGAACAUACCUCUGUUGCUUUGGCGGCUCUCGGGGCCUCGCGGCCUCGCGUCCGCCAGAGGACCUUCAAACUCCAGUCAGUAAACGUCGACGUCUGAUAAACAAGUUAAUAAACUAAAACUUUCAACAACGGAUCUCUUGGUUCUG